UACGUAGGGAGCAAGCGUUGUCCGGAAUCAUUGGGCGUAAAGCGCGCGUAGGUGGCCUCAUAAGUCCGCUGUGAAAGUCAAAGGCUCAACCUUUAAAAGCCGGUGGAUACUGUGAGGCUAGAGUACGGAAGAGGCGAGUGGAAUUCCUGGUGUAGCGGUGGAAUGCGCAGAUAUCAGGAGGAACACCAAUAGCGAAGGCAGCUCGCUGGGACGUUACUGACACUGAGGCGCGAAAGCGUGGGGAGCGAACAGG
rnacentral:rRNA from 1 species